UACGUAGGGCGCAAGCGUUAUCCGGAAUUAUUGGGCGUAAAGAGCUCGUAGGCGGUUUGUCGCGUCUGCCGUGAAAGUCCGGGGCUCAACUCCGGAUCUGCGGUGGGUACGGGCAGGCUAGAGUUCGGUAGGGGAGACUGGAAUUCCUGGUGUAGCGGUGAAAUGCGCAGAUAUCAGGAAGAACACCCGUGGCGAAAGCGGCUCUCUGGAACGGUACUGACGCUGAGACGCGAAAGCCAGGGGAGCAAACGGG
rnacentral:rRNA from 1 species